UGAAAGUUCCUACAAACCUCUCAGCUGCC
rnacentral:sRNA from 1 species